GAUGAAGAACGCAGCGAAAUGCGAUAAGUAAUGUGAAUUGCAGAAUUCAGUGAAUCAUCGAAUCUUUGAACGCACAUUGCGCCCGCCAGUAUUCUGGCGGGCAUGCCUGUUCGAGCGUCAUUACAACCCUCAGGCCCCCGGGCCUGGCGUUGGGGAUCGGCGGAGCCCCCCGUGGGCACACGCCGUCCCCCAAAUACAGUGGCGGUCCCGCCGCAGCUUCAAUCGCGUAGUAGCUAACACCUCGCGACUGGAGAGCGGCGCGGCCACGCCGUAAAACACCCAACUCUUCUGAAGUUGACCUCGAAUCAGGUAGGAAUACCCGCUGAACUUAAGCAUAUCAAUAAGCGGAGGA
rnacentral:misc_RNA from 1 species